rnacentral:rRNA from 1 species
GUCUAUGGCCAUACCACACUGUACAUGCCCGAUCGUCUGAUCUCAGAAGCUAAACAGGGUCAGCCCUGGUUAAUACUUGGAUGGGAUACCAUCUGGGAACCAGUUUAGAACCGGGUGUUAUAGGCU